rnacentral:tRNA from 1 species
GGGAAAUUAUUUUAAUUAAAAUAUGAAUCUGUCAGAUUCAAGUUAUCGUAUGAUAUUUCUUU